AACACAUUUCCUUAGAUCCAUCUUUGGGGCGUAUCUGUUUUGCUCUACUGGCAGAACUCACUGCAUGCAGUGAGUUUUUCAGUUUAGUUAUCAGGUAGUCCACAACUUGUAUGGUUGUACAGUCAAAGGUGCUUGAGUCAUUGGUGUGUGAGAAUAAUAUACCUGCACACUAGCCACAUCUGUUCCAAUGUGAACAGCCUGUGUUCGGCAAGCUGUUUUCUGCCAUUGGAACUUGGCUGGUUUGCGGACAUC